rnacentral:rRNA from 1 species
AGCAGCCGCGGUAAUUCCAGCUCCAAUAGCGUAUAUUAAAGUUGUUGCAGUUAAAAAAGCUCGUAGUCGAAUUUCGGGAUCAAUAUGUCGGUCGUGCCUUCGGUACGUACUGGUAUCAUUGGUCUCUCCUUUCUGACGAACCAUGAUGUCAUUUAAUUUGGUGUUAGUGGGG